CUUCACAAUGAUGACUAUUAUUAAGAUUCUAGGAAACGCUAUCAUGUUCUGCUUUAGCGUAGCAACAUCACACGCUAAUGUUACCCGUAGUGUCGCAACACCGGAGACCGGUCCUCAAAAUGCGGUCUCUCAAAGUGAGCUAGGAGAGCCGGAGCGCGACUUGUCCACGAACCGAACGAAAAGAAAUUUGGCUUCCUCAACCACAAAGUCCAAACGCAUAAAACAACACGCAAAAGCGCGGGCUUCAACUGACUGAAACGGCGGCCGGGGACGACAUCCAACUUCAGCCGGCAUCUCCAAGAAAACAGAAACACGACGUUGGCUGCAAGUAACACCGGCGAAUCUAAUUUGGUCUCUCUGAGAAGAAGGUUUUAAUUCCACCUUAAAUUCGCAUUCCUAGGAGACCCCAGCGUGCACGUUUAGCCCACAAAAUGCUGCGGUCUCUUCGAUGCAACCGUGCGCUUCUUGGACUCUUCAUUUGUCAUUAUUUUGGGCAAGAAUUUAGUGGAAGAAAAUUGUUCAUAUUUGCAAUCUUGAGCUUUGAAAGAGUUGCAAAACGUGCUUUUGUCUGAUAAGUUAUUUCAAAGAAAAUGAAAAUGCCAACGGUCGAAACUUGAUUUUUUUCUUGUGAUGUACUCUUGGUCUUGUCACGAUCUCAGCUUUUCUCUGUCGAGACUCCCAAAAGUUUUGGUCUCGUCUUGGUCUGAGUGAGUCCUGGUCUCGGGUAGUGUGGUCUUGUACCCCCUCCUGUCCUCAUAGACCUCGCUCCAACCAAUAAUCCGCCGGACGGUUUCGGGGUUUUGAGCCUCCACGUGUCAUAUUCUCUCGACUGUACUACUUGCUGUUGAACCACAACAUCUGUCAAAAAAAUUGCCAAGGAAGAGGAAAGAGAGGGAACGGGCGACAAUUACAAUUUGUUCGAUUUCGUGACAUGGACGAACAUGCGGCGACCAGCAUCAAAAAGAGAAAACGUGACACACGUGAAGGCGACUUUCCUCUUCCGUCCGUAGACGAGCGGUCUUCGAUGGCGUUGGCGUGUUUUUCUGACACCUUCUUCAGCGAGCUGCUGCGGCCGCUCCACGACGACGGAGCGUUCUCGGUCAGCGUGCCGCAGGUGAGCGCGUCGGCUUUUGACCGCGAAAGGGCCUCCGGCGCGCCGAGACCGACUUCCCGUUCGGCCCUCAGGCGAGCUGCCCGCGGUCCGCCGCGCUGGACGCCUUCGGCCUCUGCCCGGUGAGGAAGGGUCGCCGCCGGGCCGUACUUCCGAAUCCGUCACGAGUUGCCGCGAGAUGGUCACCGAUUGUUUUCUAAUGCGGUUCCAAUGUGUAGAUUCCAGUCCACCGUCUAGCGAUUCGGGGCUCGGGAACGAUGCGGCGUUGGAAAUCAUUCAUCGUUCCCGACCUCCGAAUCGCAACAUCAAAAUGGGUAUCUAGCGAUUCGGGAGUCGGGAACAACAAAUGAAACGCAGUCUUUCAUCAUUCCUGACCCCCGAAUGACUACAAAGGGAUUUUCAGUGGACGAACCAUGUCGGUCCCCAAUAUCAAAACUUGUAGUCAGUCAGCUGGGAAUGAGCAAAUGCUGCCCAACUCUCUUCUUUGGCCACAAGGUCACAUGAUGAGUAUCAUGCGUUGCGAUUGGCCGUAGGGCCUGGUGGAGGUGGAGCUAAGGAAGCCCGUAGCUGUCAGCAUUCACGAGACUGGACUCGCCCUCAGAACCGACGCCAGAGCCAGACCACCCGGAAGCAAAGACGGACUCGUUGUGAUGUGUGAGGUCUUCAUGAAGGUGGACAUCAAAGGAAACCGCCUGGUUCUUCUUCAUGGGCGUGCCAAGUUAGAACACACACACACACGUGCACACACGCGUCUACUAAAAAGCUAAUCUUUCUUCCUCAGAUGUAAAGUCAGACCUUCGACAUUCUUAGGACGACUUUUUAGGAACCUUGCCAGCAAGUUGUUGGAAGAACUCAUUGAAUCCAAACUAAAACAAUGGGUGGACAAAAUGGUGAUUCCUGGAGUCGUCACCGUCGAAGCCGCCAUCGUCUAUCGUGAGGGCAAGCUGGUGGUCGGAGGAAACCUGAGACUGGUUUCUGAGGUGAUCCAGGAGAUUCUGGGGCAGUACCAGACAAGGAGAAGAAGAAUAAA